GGAAAAAGGUAACCCAGCGUACGUACGCAAUUAGCGUUAGCGUUGGGGGUCCUCACGUUGUUUUCCUUUGAUUGAUUUGUCUAAAAAAGAAGUCCCAAUUCCCAUCUCAGGCGGCAGCGGAGGCGCAGGUGGUGCAGCAUGCACAACAUCGCCGGGCGCCUCCAGUCUCCACUCUCCAGCCUUUACGCACACGGCGUACAUCACGUCAUCGCCGAGUUUCAUCAGCAACGCGAUCUCGACUAAUUCACGAUAUUAGGGAUAAAUAAAGAAAAAGAAAACAACGUGAGGUCUUCUUGGUAGAAUCACAGAGAUGAACGAUGAUACUAGUGCGUCGAUGAACAAGGUGAUACUAGUGCGUCGAUGAACAAGAUGAUGAACUCCUGACACUCAUUGUGUUUGAGGAUAUAUUUGGAUAUUUAUUGAGAGCGGGCAGCCUGAAUCAUUCAAUGAUAAUGAACUUGAAAAGUGUUGCACAAAUUGCAUAAACUUUGUCUCUCGAUGGUUCAUCUCAUGCUGAGGUAUAUGGUUUUAUUUUGCAAUUAAAGGUUAUAAAGUUCACUUUGCCAAAUGGCUUAAUGUCUGAUAUGAAGAUUUUCGAGCAUGUGAUAUAGGGAGUAGUUGAUUAUUAUCCUAAUGUCUCCACUGCUUAUCACAUCUUAUUUGCCGUGCAUGUGACUAUCGCAUCGGUUGGAAGAAGCUUCUCAAAGUCGAAUUAUUGAAAAACUAUUUGAGUUCACUAAUGAUUCAAGAGAGUGAAUGAUUUGGCAAAGUUACGCAUAGGGAAGAAAUUACUGGAUAAGGCUGACAUUGAUCAUAGGUGAAUUAAUAUCAAGGAAUGUUGGAAGAAUCUUUUUAAGAUCUGAUGUAGAACCAAUGAGAGAACACUGGACGGUCGGGACAGCAGGUCAUGGGUAACUGAGAGUGGAUUUUCUCCUGCAGCUUUUCUCAGCUCCACACAUCUCGGCUCUCAUGCUUUUUCUUUCGACUUUCAAUUUUCAGUCUUCUAUAUAUUACGAACGAUAAGUCCAUUUUUUUUUCAGAUUCGUGUUGCUUGUGAUGAGGGCUUUCAAGUAAGAUUCAUUUCAAAUAUGUUUUGGUGAAUUUUUACAUCUUCGUUAAGUUUGAACAGCUGAAACUUGGUACGACGAAAGACAAAAUCGCAAGUUUUAGAAACCUAAACUUAAAACUUGGUGUACCCUCGUGGAGAGUCCAACUACUUUACGGAUCGCGAGGCAAAUCGAGUGACCGAUCAAGUUUCAACUCGUAAAACUUGAUAGGAACGAUGAUAUAAUUAGCAAGUUUCAAAACUGAAACUUAAACCCUAAACCCAAAUCUCUAAACCCUAAGCCCUAAAGCCCUAAGCCGAGAACCCAAAAAACAUAAAAGCAUAUAAAAUUUGGUAAAACUGGACAAAACGAUAAAACGGAAUGUUACAUUUUGUCUUUUUUGAAGUUGUUGAAAUGUAUUCAAAAUUUGUCUUGUUUGAAAGUUCUCGAC